rnacentral:rRNA from 1 species
UUGGGGUGCUCGAGUGGCGAACGGGUGAGUAACACGUGAGUAACCUGCCCUUGACUUUGGGAUAACUUCAGGAAACUGGGGCUAAUACCGGAUAGGAGCUCCUGCUGCAUGGUGGGGGUUGGAAAGUUUCGGCGGUUGGGGACGGACUCGCGGCUUAUCAGCUUGUUGGUGGGGUAGUGGCUUACCAAGGCUUUGACGGGUAGCCGGCCUGAGAGGGUGACCGGCCACAUUGGGACUGAGAUACGGCCCAG